rnacentral:misc_RNA from 1 species
CGCACAUUGCGCCCAUCAGUAUUCUGGUGGGCAUGCCUGUUCGAGCGUCAUUUCAAACCCUUAAGCCCUGUUGCUUAGCGUUAGGGAUCGCUGUAAAGGCGCCCCCUAAAGAAAUUGGCGGAGUUGUUUAGGGCUCUCAGCGUAGUAAUACUUCUCGCUUUAGAUCACUAACAGCGCCAGCCAUAACCCGAAUAUCUUUCAAGGUUUGACCUCGGAUCAGGUAGGAAUACCCGCUGAACUUAA